rnacentral:rRNA from 1 species
CAGUAGCCGCGGGAAUACGUAGGUGGCAAGCGCUGUCCGGAAUUAUUGGGCGUAAAGGGCUCGCAGGCGGUUUCUUAAGUCUGAUGUGAAAGCCCCCGGCUCAACCGGGGAGGGUCAUUGGAAACUGGGAAACUUGAGUGCAGAAGAGGAGAGUGGAAUUCCACGCGUAGCGGUGAAAUGCGUAGAGAUGUGGAGGAACACCAGUGGCGAAGGCGACUCUCUGGUCUGUAACUGACGCUGAGGAGCGAAAGCGUGGGGAGCGAACAGGAUUAGAUACCCCCGUAGUCCCUGUCUCUUAUAC